AUUGAACGCUGGCGGCAGGCCUAACACAUGCAAGUCGAGCGGAUGAAGGGAGCUUGCUCCUGGAUUCAGCGGCGGACGGGUGAGUAAUGCCUAGGAAUCUGCCUGGUAGUGGGGGAUAACGUCCGUAAACGGGCGCUAAUACCGCAUACGUCCUGAGGUAGAAAGUGGGGGUUCUUCGGACCUCCCGCUAUCAGAUGAUCCUAGGUCGGAUUAGCUAGUUGGUGGGGUAAAGGCCUACCAAGGCGACGAUCCGUAACUGGUCUGAGAGGAUGAUCAGUAACACUGGAACUGAGACACGGUACAGACUCCUACGGGAGGCAGCAGUGGGGAAUAUUGGACAAUGGGCGAAAGCCUGAUACAGCAAUGCCGCGUGUGUGAAGAAGGUCUUCGGAUUGUAAAGAACUUUAAGUUGGGAGGAAGGGAAGUAAGUUAAUACCUUGCUGUUUUGACGUUAACAACAGAAUAAGCACCGGCUAACUUCGUG
rnacentral:rRNA from 1 species